rnacentral:lncRNA from 1 species
UCUCCGGCCCCCACGACGCCCCCCAGUACAACGCGUCUCCCGAGUCCACCAAUUUCUUCAAGGAGCACGGAGGCUCGUGGGACACCCCCUACGGGAACUUCUUCCUCUCCUGGUAUUCCAGCCAGCUCGUCGCCCACGGCGACCGCCUCCUCUCCGCCGCCUCCACAGCCUUCGGGGAUCUCCCCGUGACCGUCUACGGCAAGGUCCCGGUGAUGCACGCCUGGUACAAGCACCGGUCCCACCCCUCCGAGCUCACCGCCGGCUACCACAACACGGCCAACUCCGACGGCUACGAGGCCAUCGCGGAGAUGUUCGCGAGGCACUCAUGCGGCAUGAUCCUCCCCGCCAUGGACCUCUCCGACGAGCACCAGCCGCCGGCCUCGCGGUCCAGCCCGGAGGCGCUUGUGGCGCAGAUCAUGAGG